rnacentral:rRNA from 1 species
CCUUGGUAUUCCGAGGAGCAUGCCUGUUUGAGUGUCAUGAUAUUCUCAAUCUUGUUAACUUUUUUGUUAACUCGAUUGGACUUGGAGGUUCUGCUGGUUUCUUUCUUUGAAAUCGGCUCCUCUCGAAUGCAUUAGCUGGGCUUGUGCUCGAUGCAACAGUGUAAUAGUCAUAAGUUCACUGGUGCAACUUGCAAUAAUAGGUCUGCUUUCCAAUCGUCUUGUUACAAGACAAAUAUAUGGGAGGGGAACUUGGUUCUCUUCAUCAUGAUCUCUUUGACCUCAAAUCAGGUAGGACUACCCGCUGAACUUAAGCAUAUCAAUAAGCGGAGGA